UGCUGGUCUUUAAAAUGCCACUUUCAACGGGAUACAAAGGAACCCUUGGCCCCUGUGACAGCUGGACUCUUAUUACCAGGGGCACAACUUGUGCUUCUGCUCAUGGGCAUGGCUACUUACCAACCUAAGAGUCCCAGCUGAGAGCAUGGUAAGUGCUGGGAAAAACUCCAAAGGUUUGGAUUGAAGAGAAGAGAUGUAAUGCCCAUACAUGGGGGUAAAAAAGCAUGAGAGAUUGAUUGGGAAUCAUGCAUUCAGCCUACAGCCAUUAAAGGGAAACAAAAAACAAGACCAUCUUACAGCAAGGAGACAUGUUUCCUGUGGUGUUCUGCUGGCUUCAUGAGAUUAAUGACCUCAGCACUUCACAGAUAAGUCUUUCUGUGUGAAUGCGAUCUUCUCCUGUGUGCACAAGGGCACACAGCCACUAAAAAAACCAUGCAUGAGAAAGAAUGGAUGAUAACACUACCAGUGAAACUGAGGUCUUGAGCAUUCUCAUUAGAGAUGCCAUUGUUUUGUGUAAAGUGUAGAUUUCAAUAUAUUCAGUAAAGGUGAUUAAAAUUCUGAGUUUUCCUACAUGGUAAGCCUUGCCACUCUGAUCAAAUUGACCUUGUGAAAUUCUGUGUCCAUGAGAUCCCAAGAUACAGUUUUGGAGAUCUCAGCUUUGACGUGUGGCUUCAGCUGUGGCAGUGUACUGCUAACAUGCUUAUUCUAACAACCAAGGGGAAAAAUGUCCAGAUCUUUGCAUAUUAAUUCCUAAAAGGGUACUGAUAUGGCUUCAAAUGUCAGGCCACUCUAGCAUUUUUCUGGAUGUUUGAUCACUUCAGGCAUACUUUGGUGAUGUCAUUCAAAUAUUUCUCAAAAAACUGUUGUUACAAAGAAAAAGUUAUUGCAGUGUUACUUAGCACCAUGGCAUUGCCAAACCACCUAGAUGGUCUUGGGGAACUUCCUUCAGAGGAUGGAAGGUAGAGGAAUGGGUUCUCUCUCAUCUCCCAUCAGCCUUUCUUACCACUUUCUUACCACUUACCACUUUCUGACCACUUUGGGAGCAGCUCCUGUCCAUUGAAAACUUCAGCCUUGCCUUGAAGCUGCAGAGUGCCAUGGCAGGCUUCAGAGCCACCUCCUCCUGCUUCUGGGAGGAAGACCCUACUGUAGUGCCUCCUGUGCUCCCUUCAGGGCACACCCAGACACACCACACACACACACUUGCUGUGUCCCAGGAUGUUCUGAGGAGUGCAGAGCACAUUUUCUGUAGGAAGACAGGAAGUUACGCAGCCCUCCUCCAGCUCUGCAUGAGUCAAAAGCUCUGAAAAGUCUGCAUUGUCAGGACAGGAUUGAUCGGCAUCAGCAUGACAGCAGUGACACUCAGUACGUGUUAGACAUUAAUGUACAACACCUCUCAUCUCUACAGAGUGUGGUACAGAGGAAGGGAGGACCACAAAUGGCAUGUUUUGAGGUAGAAAACAGCUGAUUCCAUUCAUGGAGGGGUCAAAAUAAUCUUCAACAUUAAUAAUGACUUUUUAAUUCAUGUUUUCCAGUGCUAGUGAAGCCCAACUGAUAUAUGAACAGUGUUUUAAAACCAAAUUCUUGUUCUUGUCAGGAAGCCCCAAUUCAAGAUGCACUGAUCCAUUCCUUCCCACAGUGAGAUUAGGAAUUUGUUGGAAAGAGGGAUGUGCACCGAACAUGCCACCACAGUCCAGCGUGUCCUGCUAUAGCAGCACAGAUAGGAGCCUUGAGAAAACUUCUGUAUGUUACCCAUUUGUCACAGCAUCUUCUCUGUGGUGAGAUUUGCCAGUGGAGCUUUGAUGGCUUGUCCUCCUGUAGAUGGUCAUCCCGAGAGAGAGGACUUCACUCUCAGCUGAGCUGGAAAACAGAGGAAACAGAUUCCAAAUCUGACUAGUCCAGAUCUCACUAGCAUCUUUUGAUCCCGUUUCCUCCAAUCCUCCUCCAGCACUGGAUGCCUGCAGUUCCUCGGAAGGCAGCAAAGGACAAAGCAAGGGCCCAGAUUUGCAGCCUGGAAACAUUUCUUUGGUUUCCAGAGGCUUAUCCCUAUCUCCCCAUACUGUAUGGAGGGAUAUAGAUAAAUUAUGUAAUCCUUCCUGAACACUGGAGGCUCUCCUGAUGUACAGAACUAGCAGGGACACGAUGUGUGCCCAAAAGCAUGAGGAAGCCUAGCCCAACUGUAGCAGAAAAAUGCUCCUUACAGUGCACUCAGACAUGGGAAUAAGUGCCCAUGGGAACUGGUGGAAGCCCCUCACUUGUAUCUUUGAGUUAUGUAGGAAUAUAUUUUUUCACACAAUACUGCAUCUGAAAGAAUUCUCUGCAGGCAAAAAUUGCAUAAAGUCCACUUCAAAGGUUUUUGUUUCUUUAAGAAAAAAAGACAGUGACUUUGUGGUAUUUCUGGCUAAAUUGUAUUUCUUCGUGUGUGUAUUUACACACACAUUCAUAUGGUCAGGGCCAGCAUCCAGAUGACAAAUGUGAGAAUUAUUAUUAUUCUUAAAAUGUGUGUGUCUGUGUAUUUUUUAUUUGGUAGUAUUUAGUAGAACUGCUAAUGGUGGUGUGGUUAUAAAUCUUCCUUUAGGAGUUUAUAACAUAAUGUAAAGGACAAUUUAUCUCUGUUCUAAUUAAUGCCUACACAAUGUUUAAUUUGAAUGGUUUCAAAAUAAAUUGGGGGAAAAAAAAGUUGGUCUCAUUUAAGUGACAAGAUGACAUGAUUUUUUUUUCCCAAUCAAUUAGUGCUUUGAAGCACAACUAACAAAUUACAUUUUGAAGCAAGAGAAACUUUACAGAACAAACUGACUUUUUGAUUGCAAGUAUUAAAAGAAAUAACAUGCCACAUAUUUUCCUUGAAAAAUGUUCUGCUUAAUAUAGGAUUUGACUGUGCAAUCCUUACUCAUAUAGAGACAAAAGGGAUUUUGCUGGUAUGGGAUGAAGGUGCAAGAGAGAGCCCAGUGCAGUACUGGCAGGACUUCACUGCAAAAAGCUAUUGGCUGCUGUUUACAUUUCUGACAUUCUCUGAGUAAGUGUUGUCACAACAGACAAGCAAUUAUAGACAAUAAUGUCAGUAAUUUGUGGAUUAAGAACUCCUUAAGGAUGUAUUGGCACGGCCAGACAGUAGCUGCUUUUAGCUUGCAACUGUUCACCCUCGGCUGUGCCAGUGAAACUGUAACUUUCAAGAAGAAAUUGUGCUCCCUCUUAGGCAGCAAACAAUGGCAGGGGUUAAACUUCUCUAGGCCCUCCCUGCCUCUCUUACAGCCCUCAUCCAGGCAGCUCAACCUCAAAGGGCCACUUUUUAAUAGGCGUGCACAUAAAAUGGAAAUAUAGGCCAUUAUGUUGGAGACAUGCUGUGCUAGGUGCUUGCCAACAAAGCCAGAAAAAAUCAGAUUUUGAGAUUCCAGUACUAUAAAUACACCUGUAGGAACCUCAGCCAAAGUCCAAGCCCCAGCACGCUGUGGUGGAGGGCGCAGGACCUGUGCUGACCCUCUGACUCACCACUUGGGACACCCAUGGCUCAGGCCAUGCUCCAUAUUAGCUUAUGCAAAUCCUGUACUGUGGGAAACAUGCCCUGCUGAGAAAAUGAUUUGAUUAUUUUGAGGAUCAACGAGAAAUAUUCAAAUGUAGUUUGCUCUUUUUUAAAAGAAAUUAAAAAAUACCGCCUCAAAACAUGCACAGAAACGAUGUGUACUUUGAGGGUCAAAUUAAAUACAAAUACACUUUGUUUGUCCUUUGUGCUACUGCUCUUCUGGUUUUAUUUCAAAACAAACCAUCCAGAAAAUUAGAGUGUGUUUAGGAAAUUGACUCGUGGUGAGGGGAAAUUUAUCUUAGUAAGGCUGUAUAUGCGUAAAGUAGUGGGUGGGCUAGAGGAGUUUAGGAAAAACAAGAAGUGGGGUUUUUUUUAAUCAAGUCAUUUUUUUAUUUUAUAGGGGGAAUUUUCACAGAAAUUCCUUGAAAGGUUUUAACUAUAAAGUUAGAUAAUGAAAGAAUAUUGAUUGGGUACCAUUAACCUUUUUCUCCCAAAGGCAGAUUUGCCUUUGAACACGAAGUACGUCAUACGCCUGGCUGCCAACACCAGUUUUACAACUCCAGAGAACACGGGUUAAUUUUGCUGCUUCUGCUUACUAAUUCGCCAUCUUUUCACGAAAAUGUUGUAAAAGACCUUUUUCAAAAGCCUAUUUCUCCCGGGCUCCGUGGCUGCAGGCGAGCUUGCUGGGCGUACAGGGCUCCUCCAGCAGUGUCUGGGAUGUGAAGUCUGACCCCACGCAGGACGGCAGUGCCCUGCUCCCCAUCCAGGGUGGGCACCAGCUGGCCCACCGUGCCCUCAGUGACUGACCCAGCCAGGGCUGCUGCCAGGCUGCUGCCUCCUCCUCAAGCAGGAGACAGCCUUAAGAAAUGGCACUCGGCCCCCACAGUGAAAGCAGCCUUUUGUCGGCACCUCCUUCACACACGUGGGGACUCGUUGGUCUUUUGCUGGGUUUAUCAGUAGUUUCUGGUGGCUUAAGUACAUCCUGAAGAUGAUAUGCACUUCGAAUGCACUUAAGAUUUUUAAGAGGCCGCGUUUGGUGCUCCUGGUGUCCCUGCAGCCCCCAGCCUGUGCCCGAGCAGAGGCUGAUCUAAUUUCACACUCCUGGAAGCGAGGCAGAAGGCUGAGUACCCAGUACACAUGCUGGAUCUUUUCCUUGAGUCUUCUCUCCCCUCCCCACUCCCGUUCCCCCACGAUAAAACUCUGCGAAGUCCCUCUUCGCCGUUCUGCAUCUUUUUUAGUUUGGAAAUAUCCUUUACGGGCCCAGGCCACGAGCGGCCCUUCCGAGCCUGCCCAUGCCCGAGGGGCCGCGCUGCCUCAGCGCCAGCGGCUCCGACCCCGCAUCCCUGCCCCGCAUCCCUGCCCCGCAUC